rnacentral:rRNA from 1 species
UUCCCAGACUCCUACGGGAGGCAGCAGUGGGGGAUAUUGCACAAUGGGGGAAACCCUGAUGCAGCGACGCCGCGUGGGUGAAGAAGCGCCUCGGCGCGUAAAGCCCUGUCAGCAGGGAAGAAAAUGACGGUACCUGAAGAAGAAGCCCCGGCUAACUACGUGCCAGCAGCCGCGGUAAUACGUAGGGGGCGAGCGUUGUCCGGAAUUACUGGGCGUAAAGAGAGCGUAGGCGGCACUACAGGUCUCAUGUGAAAUACCCGGGCUUAACUUGGGGGUUGCAUGGGAAACUGUAGAGCUUGAGUACAGGAGAGGCAAGCGGAAUUCCUAGUGUAGCGGUGAAAUGCAUAGAUAUUAGGAGGAACACCAGUGGCGAAGGCGGCUUGCUGGACUGAAACUGACGCUGAGGCUCGAAAGCGUGGGGAGCAAACAGGAUUAGAUACCCGCGUA